rnacentral:sRNA from 1 species
UCAUCUUCACCUUCUUCUCUCUGCUCUUGUUCACAAGUCUUUUCAAAA